rnacentral:rRNA from 1 species
AAAGGAAGAAGAUCUAAGAAUGCUUCUUUAAGAAGCUUUCUUGAUGGAGGGGAGUGGCAGACGGGUGAGUAACGCGUGGGAACAUACCCCUUUCUACGGAAUAGCUCUGGGAAACUGGAAUUAAUACCGUAUACGCCCUACGGGGGAAAGAUUUAUCGGGGAAGGAUUGGCCCGCGUUGGAUUAGCUAGUUGGUGGGGUAAAGGCCUACCAAGGCGACGAUCCAUAGCUGGUCUGAGAGGAUGAUCAGCCACAUUGGGACUGAGACACGGCUCAAACUCCUACGGGAGGCAGCAGUGGGGAAUAUUGGACAAUGGGCGCAAGCCUGAUCCAGCCAUGCCGCGUGAGUGAUGAAGGCCUUAGGGUUGUAAAGCUCUUUCACCGAUGAAGAUAAUGACGGUAGUCGGAGAAGAAGCCCCGGCUAACUUCGUGCCAGCCGCCGCGGUAAGAC